rnacentral:lncRNA from 1 species
GUGUGUCACUACUCACAGAAAAAUAUGCUCCAUGGUGGUGGUAUGAACAAAGCGCGAGUUCCCUCAUCUUCCAAGCUCAACACUGCACUAAACUCCCAAAGAAAACAACGAAACAAAAAGAAACAAAAAAGAAACUAAAAGAAAGAAAAACAAAACAAAGAAAAACAGUUGGGUUACCUCCCAACAAGUGCUUAAUUUAACGUCUAGAGCUCGACGAUACCUUACGGUCUCAAUGAACAUCAAACGCCGCGGGCGUGACAGAUUGCCUAACACGAACAGAGACAGAGGACUCAUGCGCAUCAGCUGCGUGAAAGAUAACGCUUCCAUUGGGCACAUCUAUCAUAGCCCUCCCCGUAGCUAAGAAUGAUCGACCAAGAAUCAAUGGCGGAUUUGUAUCUUCAGGAAUAUCGAGGACCAAGAAAUCCGUAGGGAAGACGAGCUUGUCAACCUUCACAAAGAUGUCGUCAAGCUUUCCUCUCGGCUUCACUCUUGAUCUAUCCGCCAUCUGAAUCUCCAUUGAGGUCGGCUUGAGAUCUCCAAUUCCCAACCGCUUGAAAACAGAGAUGGGCAUCACAUUGACACUAGCCCCUAAAUCGCAAAGAGCCUUGGGAAAGAGCUCUACCUCCCAAUCUCGCACUCAAUGGUGAAGCUACCCGGAUCUUUCUUCUUCGAAAGUAGCUUCAUUGGCAGCUCAGUGCCCACAGCUGUCACCUGCGAGAUUUUCCUAUCCUCAUGACCCAUCUUCUUGGUGUGAACGACUGCCUUUUUUUCUUUAUCAUUGGUAGGGGAACGAAUAUUGGCAGAGAAAUGGUUGAUUUCUCUGCUCUGGCUGUUGAGUUCUGAACUUUGCUUCGCUGCUCUGCUAUCUUGAGGCUCUGCACGCCGGUCUGAUUCUUCAAGUAGCCUCUCUAGCUUAUCCACUAUGCGUCUAUGCUCUGUCCGUAGCUUAUCCACUAUGCGUCUAUUCUUCAAGUAGCCUCUCUAGCCCUCCCCGUAGCUAAGAAUGAUCGACCAAGAAUCAAUGGCGGAUUUGUAUCUUCAAGAAUAUCGAGGACCAAGAAAUCCGUAGGGAAGACGAGCUUGUCAACCUUCACGAAGACAUCGUCAAGCUUUCCUCUCGGCUUCACUCUUGAUCUAUCCGCCAUCUGAAUCUCCAUUGAGGUCGGCUUGAGAUCUCCAAUUCCCAACCGCUUGAAAACAGAGAUGGGCAUCACAUUGACACUAGCCCCUAAAUCGC